GAUGAAGAACGUAGCGAAAUGCGAUACUUGGUGUGAAUUGCAGAAUCCCGUGAACCAUCGAGUCUUUGAACGCAAGUUGCGCCCGAAGCCAUUAGGCCGAGGGCACGCCUGCCUGGGCGCCACACGUCGUUGCCCCCCCAUCUACUCCUUCGGGAUUGCGGGGGGCGGAUGAUGGCCUCCCGUGCGCCUCGUCGCGCGGUUGGCAUAAAUGCCAAGUCCUCGGCGACACACGCCACGACAAUCGGUGGUUGCGAAACCUCGGUUGCCCGUCGUGUGCGGUCGUCGCGCAUCGAGGGCUCGAAAAAAUUGCCGGGCUCCGGCUCGGCUUUCAACGCGACCCCAGGUCAGGCGGGGUUACCCGCUGAAUUUAAGCAUAUCAAUAAGCGGAGGA
rnacentral:misc_RNA from 1 species